UACGUAGGGCGCAAGCGUUAUCCGGAAUUAUUGGGCGUAAAGAGCUCGUAGGCGGUUUGUCGCGUCUGCCGUGAAAGUCCGGGGCUCAACUCCGGAUCUGCGGUGGGUACGGGCAGACUAGAGUGAUGUAGGGGAGACUGGAAUUCCUGGUGUAGCGGUGAAAUGCGUUGAUAUCGAUAGGAACUCCGGUGGCGAAGGCGGCAUACUGGACCACUUCUGACGCUGAGGCGCGAAAGCCAGGGGAGGCAAACGGG
rnacentral:rRNA from 1 species